UAAGGCUGUAGUUUUGUCGCCCCUCGUCUUUGUGGUUAAUCUCGACCAUGGAGGCGAGGGGAGGAAAGUCCGGGCAGCGCAUGAGCAUAACAGUUGUUAACGACAACCAAGAGUAAUCUUAGGGAAAGUGCCGCAGAAACAAUACAUCCCCUGAAUACAGGAGAUAAAGGUGAAAAGAGUGAGGUAAGAGCUCACAGCAUGGUGUGGUGACAUACCAUGGUGGUAAACCCUGUUAGCUGCAAGACCAAGUCAAAUGGUUGCUCGCCGCAAUGACUGAAGUCGCACCGAGCUAGUUAGCAAUAGCUAGCCCAGAUAGAUGGCAAUUAAAACAGAACCCGGCUUACACGCAGCCUUGCUUU
rnacentral:RNase_P_RNA from 1 species